AUUCGAUGCAACGCGAAGAACCUUUACCAAGGCUUGACAUAUACAGGAAAAGCGUAGAAAUACGCUCCCCGCAAGGUCUGUAUACAGGUGGUGCAUGGUUGUCGUCAGCUCGUGUCGUGAGAUGUUGGGUUAAGUCCCGCAACGAGCGCAACCCUCGUCCUAUGUUGCCAGCACGUAAUGGUGGGAACUCAUGGGAGACUGCCGGGGUCAACUCGGAGGAAGGUGGGGAUGACGUCAAAUCAUCAUGCCCCUUAUGUCUUGGGCUUCACGCAUGCUACAAUGGCCAGUACAAAGGGCUGCGAUACCGUAAGGUGGAGCGAAUCCCAUAAAGCUGGUCUCAGUUCGGAUUGAGGUCUGCAACUCGACCUCAUGAAGUCAGAGUCGCUAGUAAUCGUAGAUCAGCAACGCUACGGUGAAUACGUUCCCGGGCCUUGUACACACCGCCCGUCAAGUCACGAAAGUCGGUAACACC
rnacentral:rRNA from 1 species